rnacentral:snoRNA from 1 species
ACUGGAAGCUGCUUGGACCAGUUGUGGGCAAAAGAAACGUGUUUUGUCUACUCUCGCAGUCUUCCUAGAGCAAAGUGGAGGUCUCUGACUGCUUUAGGAGAGCUAACUAAACCGGAUGGUUCCCCUCCACACAUG